rnacentral:rRNA from 1 species
UACGUAGGGUGCGAGCGUUGUUCGGAGUUACUGGGCGUAAAGGGUGCGUAGGCGGUCCUAUAAGUAUGGUGUGAAAUCUCCCGGCUUAACUGGGAGGGUGCGCUAUAGACUGUGGGACUAGAGUGUGGGAGAGGAAAGUGGAAUUCCUGGUGUAGCGGUGAAAUGCGUAGAUAUCAGGAGGAACACCGGUGGUGUAAACGGCUUUCUGGACCAUAACUGACGCUGAGGCACGAAAGCGUGGGUAGCAAACAGG